rnacentral:rRNA from 1 species
AGAGUUUGAUCAUGGGCUCAGAUUGAACGCUGGCGGCAGGCUUAACACAUGCAAGUCGAGCGGUAACAGGGGGAGCUUGCUUCCCGCUGACGAGCGGCGGACGGGUGAGUAAUGCUUAGGAAUCUGCCCAGUAGUGGGGGAUAGCCCGGGGAAACCCGGAUUAAUACCGCAUACGUCCUACGGGAGAAAGCAGGGGGACCUUCGGACCUUGCGCUAUUGGAUGAGCCUAAGUCGGAUUAGCUAGUUGGUGGGGUAAAGGCCUACCAAGGCGACGAUCCGUAGCUGGUCUGAGAGGAUGAUCAGCCACAUCGGGACUGAGACACGGCCCGAACUCCUACGGGAGGCAGCAGUGGGGAAUAUUGGACAAUGGGGGCAACCCUGAUCCAGCCAUGCCGCGUGUGUGAAGAAGGCUUUCGGGUUGUAAAGCACUUUCAGUAGGGAGGAAAACCUUAUGGCUAAUACCCAUGAGGCUUGACGUUACCUACAGAAGAAGCACCGGCUAACUCCGUGCCAGCAGCCGCGGUAAUACGGAGGGUGCAAGCGUUAAUCGGAAUUACUGGGCGUAAAGCGCGCGUAGGUGGUUUGGUAAGCGAGAUGUGAAAGCCCCGGGCUUAACCUGGGAACGGCAUUUCGAACUGUCAGACUAGAGUGUGGUAGAGGGUAGUGGAAUUUCCUGUGUAGCGGUGAAAUGCGUAGAUAUAGGAAGGAACACCAGUGGCGAAGGCGGCUACCUGGACCAACACUGACACUGAG